rnacentral:rRNA from 1 species
CCUACGGGUGGCAGCAGUCGAGAAUCAUUCACAAUGGGGGAAACCCUGAUGGUGCGACGCCGCGUGGGGGAAUGAAGGUCUUCGGAUUGUAAACCCCUGUCAUGUGGGAGCAAAUUAAAAAGAUAGUACCACAAGAGGAAGAGACGGCUAACUCUGUGCCAGCAGCCGCGGUAAUACAGAGGUCUCAAGCGUUGUUCGGAAUCACUGGGCGUAAAGCGUGCGUAGGCUGUUUCGUAAGUCGUGUGUGAAAGGCGCGGGCUCAACCCGCGGACGGCACAUGAUACUGCGAGACUAGAGUAAGGGAGGGGGAACCGGAAUUCUCUGUGUAGCAGUGAAAUGCGUAGAUAUCGAGAGGAACACUCGUGGCGAAGGCGGGUUCCUGGACAUUAACUGACGCUGAGGCACGAAGGCCAGGGGAGCGAAAGGGAUUAGAUACCCGAGUAGUC